AGUGGUCCAAACAACACUCCCCUCCUUUCCACAUCCCGUCAGCCGUCCAGUGCCCCCAUCCUGGUAGCCGGCGAGUUCGUCGCUCCGGUGACCCCUCCACUCCUCGGUGGCAGUUCGGCGACUUCUCGCCUCCCUGGAGACCCUUCCCUUCCCGUCAUUCCCUCUCAGGUCGCCCCUUCCCCUUCUCCUUCUUUGCUCAGCCUUCACACCGUUCGCCUCCUGAGACCACGACCAUAAAUGGGAGCCACUGCUGCUUGAUGGCUGCCAUAAAUAAUUAAAUCCCUGUCUAACGGCCAAAUCAUCCCCCUCUUUUACUAAUCCUUCAACCCACAAAAAUUUCACCUCCUCAUCCACCCUUCACCAUCUUCGAUUCAACCGAGUUUUCACGGCUACGAGGUUUUGAAUCAUUCUGCGAGCUCCAUAGAAGUCCUUUUGCUGUUGAUGCACUGACUUCCCUCGAGCUGAUUGUGUUGUGCCAUUCCUAUGGAUUUUCAGUCUGCAAAGAAAAAUUCGGAAAAACAAAAGCAUCUUCGAGCUCCGCUACUAAGAUUCAUAUUGACCUUGAUAUAGCUCAGGUGGUGGCAGACUAUCUCUCCAGGUAAAAAUGGGAAUCUCCAAGGCUUCAACAGCACCUCCCUAAGGUUAUACGCUUAUCCCCGGUUCAAGCAGCAGGAAAAAUUUACAACCUAGAUGAAAUAUCUGCAAUGCCUGUCUCAGCCUUUCAGGUGAAGUUGAUCAUUGAAAUUACGUGCUUUUCUUUACACUACAUAUAACUUAUAUUUUUUAUCGCUUAGCAAGGAGCAACUUACAGUGCAAUUGUAAAGAUAACUUCCGUACGUUAGUUAAAUGGUACUACAUAGCAUGCCAUCGCUAUGAUAAAGGGUACAACUAUAACACCGAGUCCCAAACAUGUGCAUGCGAAGUCUCAUUCCCCAAACCAAUGUAUAAACUCCAUGUGACAAUUACAGAUAAAUCAGGGAGUUUAGAUGCUAUGGCAUUUUCUUUUGUUGCUGAAGACUUGGUAGAGCUUGAUGCAGUCCAUGCCUCUCAGAACAUGAAGAUAGACUCAUUUGAUCAUCCAACAGCUCUUAAUAAUGCCAUUGGAAAAAGAAGACUCUUUACUGUGGGGAUGAAUAUGAAUUCAUCUUCUAAAUUCCCUAUCAGCUAUGUUCUGAAAAGGAGUUUCCCAAUUGAUAACACUAUGGAAAACCCUAUGCUGACAUGUGAAGAGCCUUCCAAGAAAAAAGGUCUAUUACAACUCCCAGCACCUACAACAUAUACGAGUAGCUCAAGAUACAACAGUAAACAAAGACAGUACACCUACUGAAGAUUUUGCAGCUGAUAUAUCCACAAAAAAGAACAGCAUCAUGGCCACAAAAAGAAGCAUCGAUUUCAGUGAAGACUCCGUUGACAAAACUAUGAGUACCAACAAACCUGAUCCUCCUGUUGUCAAACAUCAGAAAGAAGAGUAUGGUCUACUCCUAACAGCCCUCAAAAUUGGAAGAUUAAAAUAUAAAGCUAAUUCAAAUUUCUUAUGAAUAAUUUAAAAUAGCAAGCAACUCCUAUCAACAAUGCAGGACGAGGUGGCUCAAGAAUCUACGUAAUAUACAUGGUGCAAACUAUUCCCAUUGCUAAAAACAAAGUCAACUCAUAAUAUGCGACAUGCAGCCUCCACAUGCUUCCAAAUAAUCAAACUCGCUCCUUACUAUUUCCUCAAUCUUGAGCUAUCUUAAUUUCCGUUGUCAAGACUGCUAAAUCUAAAGGCUUUUGAUGCUUCCAAAUAAU